UUGUCCAUUCUUAAAAUUAAAAAAAAAAUAAUUUAAACCUAUUUCUAUUUUCUCUGAAGCAAAAAAGAACAUAUGUUCUUUUAGGGCUUCUCCAAACCCUUGAGCGCCGCCGGUCAGCUUUAUACCCACGGCCUUCGUCGAUGCCCGGUCUCCAAUCUCGACGGAGAGGGCACCAACUCGGCAAUUUCAGCGAAAAGGUACGACGAUCGUGGAGGCGCGAUUUGUGCGGAGAGGGUGAGCUGCGGCGGCUACUGGCAAAUGCUGCUAUGGUUCUCUUUUUUUGAGGGGGGUUAAGGCUAGGGUUUAAUUUGGGCUUUGUAAAAAUUGGGCUGUGUCCCAUUAUUUAUUCCACACGGGCCUGGGCCAAUUUGGGCCUACUACAAUCAUAAAACAAAAAAUUAAAUUGCUCAAAGCGAAAAAAAUAUGGGGACCAAUUGUAUAAUUUAACCUAAAUUUUUGUUUGAAAUGAUGAUUUUUAAUGUGUCACGUCA